ACCUUCCUGGUGCAGUGGUCAGCACGCUCGACUGAUAACCGAGAGGUCCGUGGUUCGAUCCCGGCAAGGCG
rnacentral:tRNA from 1 species